UUUCUAUUUUAUCUUAUGCAGUGGAAUGUAUGAAUAGAAGACAUCUUCCAUGAAAUUUUGUUGAUAAUCCCGAAGCAUUUUUCAAGAAGACGAGAGCCAAGCUCAAGAAGAGAUCAUCAACACUUCAGCAAGAAGCUUCAUCCAAUCAAGAAGAUCACCGGAACUUGUCUUCAGAGUUCGAGGCCAUGGCGAACAAAUCAAUCCGCGAGUUCUCAGCUCCCAC
rnacentral:lncRNA from 1 species